rnacentral:rRNA from 1 species
GACGAACGCUGGCGGCGUGCUUAACACAUGCAAGUCGUACGGUAAGGCCCUUUCGGGGGUACACGAGUGGCGAACGGGUGAGUAACACGUGAGUAACCUGCCCACAACUUUGUGAUAACGCUAGGAAACUGGUGCUAAUACUUGAUAUGUGCUCCUGCUGCAUGGUUGGGGUUGGAAAGCUCCGGCGGUUGUGGAUGGACUCGCGGCCUAUCAGCUUGUUGGUGGGGUAGUGGGCUACCAAGGCGGCGACGGGUAGCCGGCCUGAGAGGGUGACCGGCCACCAUGGGACUGAGAGACGGCCCAGACCUCUACGGGGGGGAGGAGUGGGGAAUAUUGCACAAUUGGCGCGAAGCUGGUGCAACAAAGCCGCGUGGGGGAUGAAGGCCUUCGGGUUGGAAACCGGUUUCAGCAGGGACGAAGCUUUUUGUGACGGUACCUGCAGAAGAAGCACCGGCUAACUACGUG